UACAGACCGAGACCACGGCAGGACCACGCUGUCGUGUUUCAGACUUCACCCCCACCAGCUGAACGCUGCUUUGACAACGGCACAGCGACAGCGUCACAAGAGCAGCGCUGCUCCCCUCCAGGCAGGCGGGAAGGGCUAUAUGGAGCGCUCACGUCAUUUAAGAUCUUGAUGAGAGAGACCCAUUGAGACCCUUUCCUUUGGGCAACUACACACAAACAAGAGGGAGGACAGAAGGGGCCCAGGGAGCUCUGCCAGACCCCCGGUGCAAGUCAGAGGAGACGAGAAGGAUCCUUCCAAGGACACCCCGAAGGAGCUGGAGGAGAACCAGGAGAGGGCAGCGCCAAGGGACAGAUGCCAAGCAAAGACAAGAUUUCAAGAAGGGUCUUGGUGACACUGUCAUCAGACAGGUGUCAGGCCAGGGAGCAGGACUGAUUUGGCUAGGUGAGUUCAUUUGCAAAGCACCUUAAUGAGGAAGAAUGUAGAAUUAUAAUCUACAUCCCAGAUAUUAAAAAUGGCCUAAAUCCUUAAAGCAACUAAGUGCACAGCGCACCCCGAUAGCAGAAAUAGGAAAAACCAGCGGUCACAGAGACAAAUUUCUCAUUGCCUCUGCCACAUUGCCUGUGAGAAGCCAGUCAAGAUAUGGUCACCCCACUGACAUUGGCCUUAGCUAGCACUACCUCAUUAUAAUUAUACAUUUAGAAUAAAAUAAAGUUUAGUCAAAUUGAAUAAAGUUUGGUCAAUUGACCAGUAACAUAUCAGUUAAAAAUUGUAAAAAAAAAAAUGCCAAAAGGUCCAAAUAAUACACACAAAAAGCACAACUUUUCCAUUUAAGAAAUGUGUCAAAAACAUUUUUAAAUGUAUUUCUGUCAAGAAAACUACAAAAAAAUGUAGAUUUUUUGUAAAAUUGCUAUAAUAUUGACUGCU